rnacentral:lncRNA from 1 species
GUAGGAAACAGGUAGAGAGUAUCCGGGUUUCCUACCCCUCCGCCGGGGUGGCUGUGCCUCCCCAUCCUCCUGCUCCCCUCCUUCCCUCCCUCCGCAGGGGAGGGCAAACCCAACCCCCAGGUGAGGGUCUGUUCUGCGGGAGUGGGAAACAGCUGGCACAGGCUCAGGCGGCAGGUGGUGGCCCUGCUCCUGCUGUGAGAGAUGGAAGCCAGGAGGCGGCGGGCGGGCCGUGCUCAGGAGACCCAUGCCCCACCCAGCCUGAGACUCUGUCAUUCCCUUCCACUGGGCUCCCCAUGAGAAGCCCCAAAGCAAAGUGGGUGUGGCUGGUCAGGGACAAUCAUGCUGGCUGUUAGUGAAGAAUGGCCUGGAGCACUGGGUCUCCGCCCCAGCUGCCUGGGAGAAACUGUGUUGAAGGAGCCAUACCCCCUGGCCUCCCCUCCAGACUCCAGACAACCCCAGUCAGCUGGCUGGGAGGGAGGCAGAAGAGAAACAGGGGUGCACCUGGGGCUCCUGCAGGGGUCCAGCCAGGAGAUGGGGGCAACUUGGACAGGGACGAUCCUGGGAAGGGCAGGAGGAGGAGUGAGACCUGGCCUGCCCUCUCCCUAGAGGCUCAUCAGCUCCCUGGAGACAGACACGCCCUGGUUCCUUUCCCUAUGCCUGGAGCCUGGGUACCAGCUAUUGAAAACUGCUUUUCUCCUUGUUCAUUCAAACAUAUUCACACAUAAAGGUUGUCAUUCCUUUUUGUCACUAUUUGACAAAAAUUGGAUCAUACCGUAUACAAUUCUCUGCUAUUUGUUUUGCUCACCUAACAAUAAAUACACUGUGAAAAAUACCUUCAGAUGAGUAGAUAUCAAUCUUGUUCAUUCUUUUUUUU